rnacentral:rRNA from 1 species
GGCGGCGUGCCUAACACAUGCAAGUCGAACGAGAAAGUGGAGCAAUCCAUGAGUACAGUGGCGACCGGGUGAGUAACACGUGACUAACCUACCCUCGAGUGGGGAAUAACUCCGGGAAACCGGAGCUAAUACCGCAUAACAUCGCAAGAUCAAAGCCGAAAGGCGCUUGAGGAGGGGGUCGCGGCUGAUUAGCUAGUUGGCGGGGUAAUGGCCCACCAAGGCUUAGAUCGGUAUCCGGCCUGAGAGGGCGCACGGACACACUGGAACUGAAACACGGUCCAGACUCCUACGGGAGGCAGCAGUGGGGAAUUUUGCGCAAUGGGGGAAACCCUGACGCAGCAACGCCGCGUGGAGGAUGAAGUCCCUUGGGAUGUAAACUCCUUUCGACCGGGAAGAUACUGACGGUACCGGUAGAAGAAGCACCGGCUAACUCUGUGCCAGCAGCCGCGGUAAUACAGANGGUGCGAGCGUUGUUCGGAAUUAUUGGGCGUAAAGGGCGCGUANGCGGUGCGGUAAGUCACCUGUGAAAUCUCCUGGCUCAACUGGGA